rnacentral:tRNA from 1 species
GGGUCUUUAGUGUAAUGGUAUAAGCGAGAAACACAUUGUUGCUUUGUGCUGGUUCAAAUCCAGCAAGACCCA